rnacentral:rRNA from 1 species
CCCUUAGAUGUUCUGGGCCGCACGCGCGCUACACUGACGGGGCCAGCGAGUACAUCACCUUGGCCGAGAGGUCUGGGUAAUCUUGUUAAACCCUGUCGUGCUGGGGAUAGAGCAUUGCAAUUAUUGCUCUUCAACGAGGAAUGCCUAGUAGGCACAAGUCAUCAGCUUGUGCCGAUUACGUCCCUGCCCUUUGUACACACCGCCCGUCGCUCCUACCGAUUGAAUGAUCCGAUGAAUAUCAUGGAUUGAGGAUGCAAGUAGGUUCGCCUAUCUUCAUCUUCGAGAAGUGAAGUAAAUCUUAUCAUUUAGAGGAAGGAGAAGUCGUAACA